CUGGAGGUAUCAGAAGUGCGAAUGCUGACAUAAGUAACGAUAAAGCGGGUGAAAAGCCCGCUCGCCGGAAGACCAAGGGUUCCUGUCCAACGUUAAUCGGGGCAGGGUGAGUCGACCCCUAAGGCGAGGCCGAAAGGCGUAGUCGAUGGGAAACAGGUUAAUAUUCCUGUACUUGGUGUUACUGCGAAGGGGGGACGGAGAAGGCUAUGUCAGCCGGGCGACGGUUGUCCCGGUUUAAGCGUGUAGGUGUGUGUUCCAGGCAAAUCCGGUUCACUUUAACACUGAGGCGUGAUGACGAGGCACUACGGUGCUGAAGUGAUAAAUGCCCUGCUUCCAGGAAAAGCCUCUAAGCAUCAGGUAACACGAAAUCGUACCCCAAACCGACACAGGUGGUCAGGUAGAGAAUACCAAGGCGCUUGAGAGAACUCGGGUGAAGGAACUAGGCAAAAUGGUGCCGUAACUUCGG
rnacentral:rRNA from 1 species